rnacentral:rRNA from 1 species
GGGUUGUGAGGUUAAGCGACUAAGCGUACACGGUGGAUGCCCUGGCAGUCAGAGGCGAUGAAGGACGUGCUAAUCUGCGAUAAGCGUCGGUAAGGUGAUAUGAACCGUUAUAACCGGCGAUUUCCGAAUGGGGAAACCCAGUGUGUUUCGACACACUAUCAUUAACUGAAUCCAUAGGUUAAUGAGGCGAACCGGGGGAACUGAAACAUCUAAGUACCCCGAGGAAAAGAAAUCAACCGAGAUUCCCCCAGUAGCGGCGAGCGAACGGGGAGCAGCCCAGAGCCUGAAUCAGUGUGUGUGUUAGUGGAAGCGUCUGGAAAGGCGUGCGAUACAGGGUGACAGCCCCGUACACAAAAAUGCACAUGCUGUGAGCUCGAUGAGUAGGGCGGGACACGUGGUAUCCUGUCUGAAUAUGGGGGGACCAUCCUCCAAGGCUAAAUACUCCUGACUGACCGAUAGUGAACCAGUACCGUGAGGGAAAGGCGAAAAGAACCCCGGCGAGGGGAGUGAAAAAGAACCUGAAACCGUGUACGUACAAGCAGUGGGAGCACGCUUAGGCGUGUGACUGCGUACCUUUUGUAUAAUGGGUCAGCGACUUAUAUUCUGUAGCAAGGUUAACCGAAUAGGGGAGCCGAAGGGAAACCGAGUCUUAACUGGGCGUUAAGUUGCAGGGUAUAGACCCGAAACCCGGUGAUCUAGCCAUGGGCAGGUUGAAGGUUGGGUAACACUAACUGGAGGACCGAACCGACUAAUGUUGAAAAAUUAGCGGAUGACUUGUGGCUGGGGGUGAAAGGCCAAUCAAACCGGGAGAUAGCUGGUUCUCCCCGAAAGCUAUUUAGGUAGCGCCUCGUGAAUUCAUCUCCGGGGGUAGAGCACUGUUUCGGCAAGGGGGUCAUCCCGACUUACCAACCCGAUGCAAACUGCGAAUACCGGAGAAUGUUAUCACGGGAGACACACGGCGGGUGCUAACGUCCGUCGUGAAGAGGGAAACAACCCAGACCGCCAGCUAAGGUCCCAAAGUCAUGGUUAAGUGGGAAACGAUGUGGGAAGGCCCAGACAGCCAGGAUGUUGGCUUAGAAGCAGCCAUCAUUUAAAGAAAGCGUAAUAGCUCACUGGUCGAGUCGGCCUGCGCGGAAGAUGUAACGGGGCUAAACCAUGCACCGAAGCUGCGGCAGCGACACUAUGUGUUGUUGGGUAGGGGAGCGUUCUGUAAGCCUGUGAAGGUGUACUGUGAGGUAUGCUGGAGGUAUCAGAAGUGCGAAUGCUGACAUAAGUAACGAUAAAGCGGGUGAAAAGCCCGCUCGCCGGAAGACCAAGGGUUCCUGUCCAACGUUAAUCGGGGCAGGGUGAGUCGACCCCUAAGGCGAGGCCGAAAGGCGUAGUCGAUGGGAAACAGGUUAAUAUUCCUGUACUUGGUGUUACUGCGAAGGGGGGACGGAGAAGGCUAUGUUGGCCGGGCGACGGUUGUCCCGGUUUAAGCGUGUAGGCUGGUUUUCCAGGCAAAUCCGGAAAAUCAAGGCUGAGGCGUGAUGACGAGGCACUACGGUGCUGAAGCAACAAAUGCCCUGCUUCCAGGAAAAGCCUCUAAGCAUCAGGUAACAUCAAAUCGUACCCCAAACCGACACAGGUGGUCAGGUAGAGAAUACCAAGGCGCUUGAGAGAACUCGGGUGAAGGAACUAGGCAAAAUGGUGCCGUAACUUCGGGAGAAGGCACGCUGAUAUGUAGGUGAAGCGACUUGCUCGUGGAGCUGAAAUCAGUCGAAGAUACCAGCUGGCUGCAACUGUUUAUUAAAAACACAGCACUGUGCAAACACGAAAGUGGACGUAUACGGUGUGACGCCUGCCCGGUGCCGGAAGGUUAAUUGAUGGGGUCAGCGCAAGCGAAGCUCUUGAUCGAAGCCCCGGUAAACGGCGGCCGUAACUAUAACGGUCCUAAGGUAGCGAAAUUCCUUGUCGGGUAAGUUCCGACCUGCACGAAUGGCGUAAUGAUGGCCAGGCUGUCUCCACCCGAGACUCAGUGAAAUUGAACUCGCUGUGAAGAUGCAGUGUACCCGCGGCAAGACGGAAAGACCCCGUGAACCUUUACUAUAGCUUGACACUGAACAUUGAGCCUUGAUGUGUAGGAUAGGUGGGAGGCUUUGAAGUGUGGACGCCAGUCUGCAUGGAGCCGACCUUGAAAUACCACCCUUUAAUGUUUGAUGUUCUAACGUUGACCCGUGAUCCGGGUUGCGGACAGUGUCUGGUGGGUAGUUUGACUGGGGCGGUCUCCUCCUAAAGAGUAACGGAGGAGCACGAAGGUUGGCUAAUCCUGGUCGGACAUCAGGAGGUUAGUGCAAUGGCAUAAGCCAGCUUGACUGCGAGCGUGACGGCGCGAGCAGGUGCGAAAGCAGGUCAUAGUGAUCCGGUGGUUCUGAAUGGAAGGGCCAUCGCUCAACGGAUAAAAGGUACUCCGGGGAUAACAGGCUGAUACCGCCCAAGAGUUCAUAUCGACGGCGGUGUUUGGCACCUCGAUGUCGGCUCAUCACAUCCUGGGGCUGAAGUAGGUCCCAAGGGUAUGGCUGUUCGCCAUUUAAAGUGGUACGCGAGCUGGGUUUAGAACGUCGUGAGACAGUUCGGUCCCUAUCUGCCGUGGGCGCUGGAGAACUGAGGGGGGCUGCUCCUAGUACGAGAGGACCGGAGUGGACGCAUCACUGGUGUUCGGGUUGUCAUGCCAAUGGCACUGCCCGGUAGCUAAAUGCGGAAGAGAUAAGUGCUGAAAGCAUCUAAGCACGAAACUUGCCCCGAGAUGAGUUCUCCCUGACUCCUUGAGAGUCCUGAAGGAACGUUGAAGACGACGACGUUGAUAGGCCGGGUGUGUAAGCGCAGCGAUGCGUUGAGCUAACCGGUACUAAUGAACCGUGAGGCUUAACCUUACAACGCCGAAG